UCCCCCUUGGUGGGUUUCGCUGAGAGCCUGAGAUACCCUAGGCCUCUUAAUCUGUGAUCCAAAAAGGCGAAGCAGUUGUCGAUGUCAAUGAAGGUGAUACCUUUAGAAUUUCAGCCGAGAUGGUCAUCCAUCAAGUAGUACAGAAGUUCCCUUCCAUUCCAGAUAAUAAAAUGCCACUAUUUGACUCGUGAGUGUCUACUAAGACCGAAAUUCUUGCACCUGGCUAAUAAUACAAUUGUUAGUUAAUUUUUAUGAUUUAUUCCAAUCACGUGUUCCUAAUGUAUUCCCAUUUGCACAUUGCAAUUUUGAGUUCCAAAUCAUAGCGAUUUUAUUGUCAUUUUGUGUGUGUUGAAAAUAAGUUAUAAAAUUUUCAAAUUGAAUAUUAAAAUUUCAAUUUUCAUUUAAUUUUCAAGUUUACAAAAAUUUAGUCUUGUUUUUAUAUUUGUAACUUAUGUUGAAUUUGAUUAAUUUUCAUUAUGGGAGAGUUGAAUUUUUCUACCAUAAAAGGAGGUGGAUUUUUCAUUGUUUUAUGCACAGCAAAUCAAACACUUGAAAGACACUUUCUAAUCUUUUCAUGCUACUCUCUAAUUAUUUUAUAUCAUCUUCUUCUAUAAAUAUUGACAAUUGAUAAGGGUUUUGUUGUUUCUUUCCCUGUAGUUGAGCCCAUAGAAGGAGAAUCGGCUGCUAGCUAUAAGGAUUUUAUCUUAGAGUCGUGAAGUGUUGAAAGUACCCACACAAAAGAAAGGCCACACGACUUUAGGACAGCGGUUAUCGCAACUCUCUUUGGUGAGCUUUUCUAAUUAUAUUCUCAUAUUUAUUUUAUUUGAUUCAUGCUUAUAAUUGAUAAUUCAUUACACAAAUCACAUUAUUUUAGAACAUUCUAAAGUCAGG
rnacentral:lncRNA from 1 species